UGGAGAAGCAGGGCACGU
rnacentral:siRNA from 1 species